rnacentral:rRNA from 1 species
AAACCAACAGGGAUUGCCCCAGUAGCGGCGAGUGAAGCGGCAAGAGCUCAGAUUUGAAAUCGUGUUUCGGCACGAGUUGUAGAGUGUAGGCGGGAGUCUCUGUGGAGCGCGGUGUCCAAGUCCCUUGGAACAGGGUGCCUGAGAGGGUGAGAGCCCCGUAGGGUGCUGCGCGAAGCUUUUGAGGCCCUGCUGACGAGUCGAGUUGUUUGGGAAUGCAGCUCCAAGCGGGUGGUAAAUUCCAUCUAAGGCUAAAUAUUGGCGAGAGACCGAUAGCGAACAAGUACUGUGAAGGAAAGAUGAAAAGCACUUUGAAAAGAGAGUGAAACAGCACGUGAAAUUGUUGAAAGGGAAGGGUAUUGGGCUCGACAUGGGGGGUGCGCACCGCUGUCUCUUGUAGGCGGCGCUCUGGGCGCCCUCUGGGCCAGCAUCGGUUCCUGCUGCGGGAGAAGGGGCUCCGGAAAGUGGCUCUUCGGAGUGUUAUAGCCGGGGCCAGAUGCCGCGUGUGGGGACCGAGGACUGCGGCUUCUGUCUCGGAUGCUGGCAUAACGGCGCAAUGCCGC